UCGCCCGCCGCGCCCCGCGCCCGUCCCGCCGCCCCCGCCCGCUCCUACGGGAGGCAGCAGUGAGGAAUAUUGGUCAAUGGGCGGGAGCCUGAACCAGCCAAGCCGCGUGAGGGAAUAAGGCCCUACGGGUCGUAAACCUCUUUUGUCGGGGAACAAAAGCGGGGACGCGUCCCCGUCUGCGUGUACCCGAAGAAAAAGCAUCGGCUAACUCCGUGCCAGCAGCCGCGGUAAUACAAUCGG
rnacentral:rRNA from 1 species